rnacentral:piRNA from 1 species
UAGUUUCUGGAAAUGACUGCAGACUGUGCC